rnacentral:rRNA from 1 species
UACAGAGGUCCCAAGCGUUGUUCGGAUUCAUUGGGCGUAAAGGGGUGCGUGAGGCGGCGCGGUAAGUCGGGUGUGAAAUCUCGGGGCUUAACUCCGAAACUGCAUUCGAUACUGCCGUGCUUGAGGACUGGAGAGGAGACUGGAAUUUACGGUGUAGCGGUGAAAUGCGCAGAUAUCAGGAGGAACACCGGUGGCGAAGGCGGGUCUCUGGGCCGAUACUGACGCUGAGGAGCGAAAGCGUGGGGAGCGAACAGG